GGGCAUAGCUCAGUGGUAGAGCGUGGGCCUAGCAUGCGCAAGGUCCUGGGUUCAAUCCCCAGUAACUCCA
rnacentral:tRNA from 1 species